rnacentral:lncRNA from 1 species
UCUCAGGUUUGGGGUCAUCCUUCUGUCCCCCCACCCCGUUUCCCACAUUGACUCACCCUCUCACAGCCUCGUGGAGCAGGAAGACACGACGGGGAGGCGACCUUUGCUAAGGCUGGCUCCGGGACAGCACCCUUUUCCAGGCGUGGUGCAGCGCCCGAGUUUGGGGCAGACUUUCCCAUCCCUUCCCGCUAGCCCGCUGCUUCUGGCUUCCAGUUCGGGUUCCUCCAAGCUGUUUUUUUCCGGGAUAGGCCAGGUAGCCCUUGGACAUGCAGCUCUGCGAAACGCCUCUUUUUUUAAGGAAGAGUGGAAGAGAAGAAUGCCCCCGAAUUUGCUGACAUAUCCUUAGUGCCCAGAGCAGGACCCGGCACACCGUGGGCUCUCAUCAAAUAUCUGCAGGACUUUUUUAUUCCCUGUGCUCCCGCUAGACUGCGGAAGUGAAAAGUGGACCGGCACUGUCACCUUGUGGCGUCUUGUGGAACUGUAGCCGAAGUCCUUCGGAAGCGCGUCCGUUCGCAUUCUGAGCCUCAGUGUUCUCUGCUGUAAAACAGAGUGCAUGUUAAUAGUACGUGCCUUUCGAGGCACGAGACCCGUGAAGGGCUUUACACAAGUUCUGCCACGUGAAAAGUCCUUAGUUAUUAAUAUUGGAAUUAAUAUUGUGUUCCUUUUCCCAGCUUGUUUUUACAGAGGGACCUUGACCAUGAUGGAUGAUGAUAUUUUGGAAGCAAAGAGUGAAAAUGAAGGAGGAUAUUGGUGCUCCGGAGGCCCUGGCAGGCUCCAGGGGACAGUUCCUCCCGCUGCUAACGGCUUCCGGCUGUAGCUGCAUUGCUCCGGUCAUCCACCCCCCCCCCCAUGGAAUUGAACCUAAGGUCUUUUCACUGAGCUGCAACCCAGCCCUUUUUAAAAUUUUGAUUUUUGAGACAGUCUCACUAAGUCAGUAAGUUGCCCACGCUUGGGCAACUUGUGAUCCUCCUGCCUCAGCUUCCCAGAAUGCUGAGGUAACAGGAGUGCACCAUCAUACCUGGGUGGAAGAGGUUGUUUUUCCAUCUUUAUUUUACAGCAGAGGAAACCGAAGCUCAGAAGGCCUUAGCCGCUUACCCAAGCUACCAAAC